rnacentral:rRNA from 1 species
AUUGAACGCUGGCGGCAUGCCUUACACAUGCAAGUCGAACGGUAACAGGUCUUCGGAUGCUGACGAGUGGCGAACGGGUGAGUAAUACAUCGGAACGUGCCUAGUAGUGGGGGAUAACUACUCGAAAGAGUGGCUAAUACCGCAUGAGAUCUACGGAUGAAAGCAGGGGAUCGCAAGACCUUGUGCUACUAGAGCGGCCGAUGGCAGAUUAGGUAGUUGGUGGGAUAAAAGCUUACCAAGCCGACGAUCUGUAGCUGGUCUGAGAGGACGAUCAGCCACACUGGGACUGAGACACGGCCCAGACUCCUACGGGAGGCAGCAGUGGGGAAUUUUGGACAAUGGGCGCAAGCCUGAUCCAGCAAUGCCGCGUGCAGGAUGAAGGCCUUCGGGUUGUAAACUGCUUUUGUACGGAACGAAAAGCCCUGGGUUAAUACCCUGGGGUCAUGACGGUACCGUAAGAAUAAGCACCGGCUAACUACGUGCCAGCAGCCGCCGUAAAAC